rnacentral:rRNA from 1 species
GACAGAGGGUGCAAACGUUGUUCGGAAUUACUGGGCGUAAAGCGAGUGUAGGCGGUGUGGUAAGUCGGAUGUGAAAGCCCCGGGCUCAACCCGGGAAGUGCACUCGAUACUGCCACGCUAGAGUAUCGGAGAGGUUGGUGGAAUUCUCGGUGUAGAGGUGAAAUUCGUAGAUAUCGAGAGGAACACCGGUGGCGAAGGCGGUUCUCUGGGCCUGUACUGACGCUGAGGAGCGAAAGCGUGGGGAGCAAACAGG